UCUAAUGGCCGAUCUAUGGUGCAGGAUACCCGGACAGUUGGAGUCUACGAUAACUUCCAGGUCAUCCCUCUCAGUUUUAGCACAAGCCUGGACAACUUCAACCCUAACAUUCCAGAGUGGAGAGAGGACAUCGGCCAGGUGGUCACCAAAAUACUUGUUAAGACCACAGGUGUCCCUCUAGAGUCCCUGGUUACAGUGGUGAAGCCAGGCCUCCCCACCACUGCUGAC